rnacentral:pre_miRNA from 1 species
CGCCUCGCGUUGUUUGGAAGACUAGUGAUUUUGUUGUUUUUAUUAAUAUAACAAAAAAUCACUAAUCUCCCUACAAAGCGUUGGUG